UAACGAAUCUUCCGCAAUGCACGAAAGUGUGACGGAGCAAUGCCGCGUGUGGGACGAAGCGGUUUCGCCGUGUAAACCACUGUCAGGUUCUCGAAAGAACUGAUCAGGACCAGAGGAAGGGCCGGCUAAUCUCGUGCCAGCAGCCGCGGUAAGACGAGAGGCCCGAGCGUUGAGCGGAAUCACUGGGCUUAAAGGGUGCGUAGGCGGAUCGGCAGGUAUCUUGUGAAAGCCCACGGCUCAACCGUGGAAUUGCAGGGUAAACCGCCGAUCUUGAGGUAGGUAGAGGUCGUCGGAACGUUGGGUGGAGCGGUGAAAUGCGUAGAGAUCCAACGGAACGCCAAAGGUGAAGACAGGCGACUGGGCCUAACCUGACGCUGAGGCACGAAAGCGUGGGGAGCAAACAGGAUUAGAUACCCCCGUAGUCC
rnacentral:rRNA from 1 species